UCUAAACAAAACCGUUUUUUCUCGGCUACCAAACAAGCCCCUUGUUUUUUUUCUGGGCAAGAUAGACCCAUUUACAAAAGUAAAAACCCUUACCUCUCCAUCCUCUUCCAAAUUAUAAUCACUCUUUAGGGUUUCUAUCUAUCUCCAUAAAGUAUAAACCUUGAACCUUACCCAAAUCGGUUUCUUCCAUUGAGUCAUUGAAGUCUUACAAUUCUUAAGAGAUAAUAAUAGCAAUCAGAAAGAAGUAUGAGUGUUGGUGCUUCUAUCUCAUCAAUCGGAACCGCGCGUGUUGCUAAUUGCCACCGUUGGAGGACCCUAAUUCCGCUUCCUUCUUUGCCUUCCUCCAAUUGGAGAUUGAUGUCGCCUCUGGCUUCAGCUCCAUCAGCGUUCAUGUCCAUGAGCUCAGCUUCGACGACGGAACCGGUGGUCGUGGAGGCCCCGAAGCCCAAGCACCCCUGGCUCAUUGUCGGCCUCGGUAACCCCGGCAAGAAGUACCAAGCCACCCGCCACAAUGUGGGCUUUGAGAUGGUGGAUGCUAUAGCCGAAGCUGAAGGGAUUUCUACUAGCAGCGUUUCCUUCAAAGCUCUGUUAGGAAAAGGUUUUAUUGGAGACGUUCCAGUUAUGUUUGCUAAACCCCAAACUUUCAUGAAUGCAAGUGGUCAGUCUGUUGGGGCUAUCGUAUCGUAUUACAAGAUUCCGCUAAAGCAAGUACUCGUGAUUUUUGAUGACUUAGAUUUGCCAUUUGCAAAGUUGCGGCUUUUGCCUAAAGGUGGCCAUGGAGGACACAAUGGAAUGAGGAGCAUCAUCGAUCACUUCAAAGGGAACCGUGAUUUUCCUCGUUUAAGAAUUGGCAUUGGAAGGCCUCCUGGGAAAAUGGAUCCAGUCAACUUUGUUCUUCGCCCAUUCAAUAAACAAGAACGUGAAGAGUUGAACUUCACAUUUCAACAUGGCAUUGAAGCAGUACGGAUUCUUUUGCUGGAGGGGUUUAAUAACAGUGCCACAUUUGCUAACAGUGCCAAAACCCUGGAACAACUUGGUUAACUUCGGGCGCAAAUUAUAAUUACUGGCGAUCACGGACAGGUGGAUAUAUUAUUCAUGCAAUUUGAAGUUGUGAUUGUGAAAGCUAUUAGUGGCUGGCCUUGAAUGCAUGCUUUGACGCCAGAUGAUUCAUUGUGUGCUUUGCCCUUUUGCUCUUUUUUUAUUAUUCCUUUGGAAAAGGCCAUAUUGGUCUUCCCCGACGGUGCUUUCUUUCUGGAGCCCAACUAUUUCUUCCUACAGGUAUAGAAUUUUGAGACUGUAAAAUUGUAGACUUAAGGACUCAUUUGGUUAUUGAGUAUGAGAUGAAAUGAGAUGUUUUGUUGAAAGUUGAAUAAAAUAUUGUUAUAAUAUACUUUUUUAAUAUUA